GGGCGUAUAGCUCAGCUGGCUAGAGCGCCUGCCCGACACGCAGGAGGUCAGUGGUUCAAGUCCACUUACGCCCACCA
rnacentral:tRNA from 1 species